ACAGUAAAGAAAAACCCAAGGAAGAACAACCAAAUAAAGAUGAAAAAAUAAGAGAGGCCAAAGAAAGAAUGCCUAAGUCUGAUAAAGACAAGGAAAAAUUAAAGAAGGAAGAAAAGGCUAAAGAUGAGAAAUUUAGGAUCAUCGUCCCCAAUGUAGAAUCGAAAUCCACUCAAGAAAGGGAAAAAGAGAAAGAGCCCUCAAGAGAAAGAGAUUUAGCAAAGGAAAUGAAGUCAAAAGAGAAUGUUAAAGGAGGAGAGAAAGCACCACUUUCUGGUUCCUUGAAAUCACCUGUUUCCCGAACAGAUAUCAUAGAACCAGAAAGAGAAAAACGUCGCAAGGUUGAUUCCCAUCCUUCUCCAUCACAUGCUUCCACAAUAAAGGACAGUCUUGUUAAACUCAAGGAGUCUUCAGCAAAGCUCUAUAUCAACCAUAUUCCACCACCAUUGUGCAAGAGUAAGGAGAGAGAAGCAGACAAGAAAGAUUUGGACAAAUCAAGGGAAAGGUCCAGAGAAAGGGAGAAAAAAGAGGAAAA
rnacentral:lncRNA from 1 species